rnacentral:misc_RNA from 1 species
GUAAAUCAUAACUCUUAUCGUCCGAAAGGGCAAACAACUAAUUUGAUAGCUUAUACCUCUUUCGCUUCCCCUUCACCGUACCUAACCUAAUCUUUUCCAUGAAAAUAAAACGAAACUAUCUCCUUCUGCAUGACCCAUUCAUCUCCACCCAAAUUGAGGAAGGAUAGAUGUUCUACAAUUCCAUGAUUCACCCGCACAAUGCAUGAUAUACAAUACUAUCACACAUACAGAAAUCAAUGGUGGUGGAAAUGGGAAUACAAAAAAGCAAACCCUAAUAAUCUAAAUGUAUAAAAAAACCCGAAAGCAUAACUCUUCCUGGUUACUAGGUAACCUCUCCAUUGGCUCUUCUGGUAUUGCUCCUGAUUUUCUUCACCAUGCUACUGUAGAUCUUUCUUUGUCAUCAAUUCACUCGUAUCUAAUAAUAAAAGGCUUCUCGCCAAUUGCAUCACAAGAAAUAAUCGGGUGCAGGUUUUUUGGCAGGUGUGCCUCUUGAUUCCUGUGGAGCUGCAUCAAACACACGAAACCGCUUGUGAAGGUUCUCAUCCAACUCGAGGAUUGCAGCCACAUUACCACAUCUGUAACAGUAGUUUGGAGCCGACCAGACAGUAACUAUUUGGUUAUUAAACAUCCAUUUGUAUCCUUCCAUUACCAAUUGAUGAGCACGGCAUAUAUAGUCAAUGUUGUUCGAGUGGUUGAAAGAAGUGACC